rnacentral:rRNA from 1 species
CCAUAGCAAGAGUGAACCACCUGAUCCCUUCCCGAACUCAGAAGUGAAACCUCUUAGCGCUGAUGGUAGUGUGGGAUUACCCAUGUGAGAGUAAGUCAUCGCCAGCUC